rnacentral:rRNA from 1 species
GACGAACGCUGGCGGCAGGCCUAACACAUGCAAGUCGAACGUGAAGCCACCUUCGGGUGGUGGAAAGUGGCAGACGGGUGAGUAACGCGUGGGAACGUGCCUUUCGGUUCGGGAUAACCCAGGGAAACUUGGGCUAAUACCGGAUACGCCCUCCGGGGGAAAGAUUCAUCGCCGAAAGAUCGGCCCGCGUCGGAUUAGCUAGUUGGUGGGGUAAAUGCCUACCAAGGCGACGAUCCGUAGCUGGUCUGAGAGGAUGAUCAGCCACACUGGGACUGAGACACGGCCCAGACUCCUACGGGAGGCAGCAGUGGGGAAUAUUGGACAAUGGGCGCAAGCCUGAUCCAGCCAUGCCGCGUGGGUGAAGAAGGCCCUAGGGUUGUAAAUCCCUUUCAGCGGGGAAGAUAAUGACGGUACCCGCAGAAGAAGCCCCGGCUAACUCCGUG